GGAGCGUUGCGGGCGGCGGGGUAGACCCGGGCAGUUUGGCCCCAGUCCUCACCCCUCUGAGGGCCGAAGUCCGCCCUGCGCUGCGUGGGAGGCUGGCGCGGAGGGCGCCGCGGCCCAGUUGUGUCACUUUUCCCGUCCGCCCCCCUGUUGACUAGUCCUCCCAGCGGGGCAGCGAGUUGCCGUGCUGUGCCAGACGUAGAGGGCCCCAGUGUGUGAUGUUCCCUUUCCUGAGUAACACCAUUUUCUAUCUAAAUGAAGAAAUGGAGGCAUGGAAGUUUCAUCUGUAUGGAAAAGGAGCUCUGGUAACUUUGGCCAAGACUUUUCAGUAGGAAAUGCUUCAAAAUACAAAGCAAGAGCUAUUUUCAAGAAAGACCUUCUAAAUUUAUAUUAGGAUUAAGCGUCUGUAACGUUGCCACUCGUCGCUGAGGCUCCUGGUUUCAGCAUGUCUCCUUGGUUCCCAGCCAGCUCUGGGUGUUCAGGUAGCAGCUGUGGCUGGGAGUGUCUCUCCAGUCCACAUUCCUUGGCCAUGAA
rnacentral:lncRNA from 10 species